UCUUAUUAGUAUAAAUAAUUACUAUUAGCUUCCAACUAAUAAAUCUUUUUGAUAAGAUAA
rnacentral:tRNA from 1 species